CGCAGGCGCCGGCGGGCGCGUCCACACCGCGGGUCGCUCGCUGCCGGGUCCGCUCGGGCGCGGGUCGCGCUCCGCAAUCAUGGGUCUCCCGGUGCAAGUCGUUUAUUGUGGAGCUUGAGGCUACAAGUCCAAGUAUCUUCAGCUCAAGAAGAAGUUAGAAGAUGAGUUCCCCGGGUGCCUGGACAUCUGUGGCGAGGGGACUCCUCAGGCCACUGGGUUCUUUGAAGUUACGGUAGCCGGGAAGUUGGUUCACUCCAAGAAGAGAGGCGAUGGCUACGUGGACACAGAGAGCAAGUUUCUGAAGCUGGUGGCCGCCAUCAAAGCCGCUUUGGCUCGGGCCUGAUGUGCCCUGAAGGCAGAGUCCAGAGGCCUUGACCCCGCCCCUCUCGGCAGACGCUUCGUGACAGGAAGGACUGAAAUGUCUCGUGGACGCCUGGUCUUUCCUCGAUGUUCCUGCGGCCGCCGUGUGGGGGCAGAGAUCGACGCCCCUGGUCUUUGCCCGUGUGGGAGUGUGUGUGUGUUUCCCCCAGAAUCUCCCUU